rnacentral:rRNA from 1 species
GCUGUGAGCUCGAUGAGUAGGGCGGGACACGUGGUAUCCUGUCUGAAUAUGGGGGGACCAUCCUCCAAGGCUAAAUACUCCUGACUGACCGAUAGUGAACCAGUACCGUGAGGGAAAGGCGAAAAGAACCCCGGCGAGGGGAGUGAAAAAGAACCUGAAACCGUGUACGUACAAGCAGUGGGAGCACCCUUCGGGGUGUGACUGCGUACCUUUUGUAUAAUGGGUCAGCGACUUAUAUUCUGUAGCAAGGUUAACCGUAUAGGGGAGCCGGAGGGAAACCGAGUCUUAAUUGGGCGUUAAGUUGCAGGGUAUAGACCCGAAACCCGGUGAUCUAGCCAUGGGCAGGUUGAAGGUUGGGUAACACUAACUGGAGGACCGAACCGACUAAUGUUGAAAAAUUAGCGGAUGACCUGUGGCUGGGGGUGAAAGGCCAAUCAAACCGGGAGAUAGCUGGUUCUCCCCGAAAGCUAUUUAGGUAGCGCCUCGUGAAUUCAUCUCCGGGGGUAGAGCACUGUUUCGGCUAGGGGGCCAUCCCGGCUUACCAACCCGAUGCAAACUGCGAAUACCGGAGAAUGUUAUCACGGGAGACACACGGCGGGUGCUAACGUCCGUCGUGAAGAGGGAAACAACCCAGACCGCCAGCUAAGGUCCCAAAGUCAUGGUUAAGUGGGAAACGAUGUGGGAAGGCCCAGACAGCCAGGAUGUUGGCUUAGAAGCAGCCAUCAUUUAAAGAAAGCGUAAUAGCUCACUGGUCGAGUCGGCCUGCGCGGAAGAUGUAACGGGGCUAAACCAUGCACCGAAGCUGCGGCAGCGAACGUAUCACCCAAGACAACUUUACGGAGUUGACGAUUGACGGAGCGAAGCGACGUCAAAGCGUUCAUUAAAGUCGAGUUGGCUUAGGGAUACGUUCGUUGGGUAGGGGAGCGUUCUGUAAGCCUGUGAAGGUGUGUCGUGAGGCAUGCUGGAGGUAUCAGAAGUGCGAAUGCUGACAUAAGUAACGAUAAAGCGGGUGAAAAGCCCGCUCGCCGGAAGACCAAGGGUUCCUGUCCAACGUUAAUCGGGGCAGGGUGAGUCGACCCCUAAGGCGAGGCCGAAAGGCGUAGUCGAUGGGAAACGGGUUAAUAUUCCCGUACUUGGUGUUACUGCGAAGGGGGGACGGAGAAGGCUAUGUUGGCCGGGCGACGGUUGUCCCGGUUUAAGCGUGUAGGUGUGUGUUCCAGGUAAAUCCGGUUCACUUUAACACUGAGGCGUGACGACGAGGCACUACGGUGCUGAAGCAACAAAUGCCCUGCUUCCAGGAAAAGCCUCUAAGCAUCAGGUAACACGAAAUCGUACCCCAAACCGACACAGGUGGUCAGGUAGAGAAUACCAAGGCGCUUGAGAGAACUCGGGUGAAGGAACUAGGCAAAAUGGUGCCGUAACUUCGGGAGAAGGCACGCUGACACGUAGGUGAAGUGAUUUACUCAUGGAGCUGAAGUCAGUCGAAGAUACCAGCUGGCUGCAACUGUUUAUUAAAAACACAGCACUGUGCAAACACGAAAGUGGACGUAUACGGUGUGACGCCUGCCCGGUGCCGGAAGGUUAAUUGAUGGGGUCAGCGUAAGCGAAGCUCCUGAUCGAAGCCCCGGUAAACGGCGGCCGUAACUAUAACGGUCCUAAGGUAGCGAAAUUCCUUGUCGGGUAAGUUCCGACCUGCACGAAUGGCGUAAUGAUGGCCAGGCUGUCUCCACCCGAGACUCAGUGAAAUUGAACUCGCUGUGAAGAUGCAGUGUACCCGCGGCAAGACGGAAAGACCCCGUGAACCUUUACUAUAGCUUGACACUGAACAUUGAGCCUUGAUGUGUAGGAUAGGUGGGAGGCUUUGAAGUGUGGACGCCAGUCUGCAUGGAGCCGACCUUGAAAUACCACCCUUUAAUGUUUGAUGUUCUAACGUGGACCCGUAAUCCGGGUUGCGGACAGUGUCUGGUGGGUAGUUUGACUGGGGCGGUCUCCUCCUAAAGAGUAACGGAGGAGCACGAAGGUUGGCUAAUCCUGGUCGGACAUCAGGAGGUUAGUGCAAUGGCAUAAGCCAGCUUGACUGCGAGCGUGACGGCGCGAGCAGGUGCGAAAGCAGGUCAUAGUGAUCCGGUGGUUCUGAAUGGAAGGGCCAUCGCUCAACGGAUAAAAGGUACUCCGGGGAUAACAGGCUGAUACCGCCCAAGAGUUCAUAUCGACGGCGGUGUUUGGCACCUCGAUGUCGGCUCAUCACAUCCUGGGGCUGAAGUAGGUCCCAAGGGUAUGGCUGUUCGCCAUUUAAAGUGGUACGCGAGCUGGGUUUAGAACGUCGUGAGACAGUUCGGUCCCUAUCUGCCGUGGGCGCUGGAGAACUGAGGGGGGCUGCUCCUAGUACGAGAGGACCGGAGUGGACGCAUCACUGGUGUUCGGGUUGUCAUGCCAAUGGCACUGCCCGGUAGCUAAAUGCGGAAGAGAUAAGUGCUGAAAGCAUCUAAGCACGAAACUUGCCCCGAGAUGAGUUCUCCCUGAGACUUAGAGUCUCCUGAAGGAACGUUGAAGACGACGACGUUGAUAGGCCGGGUGUGUAAGCGCAGCGAUGCGUUGAGCUAACCGGUACUAAUGAACCGUGAGGCUUAACCUUACAACGCCGAAG